GGAGAGGUGUCCGAGUGGCUUAAGGAGCACGCUUGGAAAGCGUGUGUAGAGGAAACUCUACCGUGGGUUCGAAUCCCACCCUCUCCGCCA
rnacentral:tRNA from 1 species